UGCAAAUGGCUCAUUAAAACAGUUAUAGUUUAUUUGAUAAUAAAUAAUUACAUGGAUAACCGUGGUAAUUCUAGAGCUAAUACAUGAGCACAUUCUCAACUGUUUCAGAAGAGAUGCAUUUAUUAGAUAAAAAACCAGUGCAUUCCUUUACAGGAUGGAAAUUGGUGAUUUACAAUAACUUAGCAAAUCGCAUAGUGAAAACUGGCGAUAGAUCAUUCAAGUUUCUGACCUAUCAGCUUUCGACGGUAUGGUAUUGGCUUACCGUGGCAGUGACGGUUAACGGGGGAUUAGGGUUCGAUUCCGGAGAGGGAGCCUGAGAAACGGCUACCACAUCUAAGGAAGGCAGCAGGCGCGCAAAUUACCCAAUUCUAACAGCAUAAGAGAGGUAGUGACAAGAAAUAACAAUACAAGGCAUUUAAAAUGCUUUGUAAUUGGAAUGAUAGAAAUUUAAACACUUUUUAAAGUAUCAAUUGGAGGGCAAGUCUGGUGCCAGCAGCCGCGGUAAUUCCAGCUCCAAUAGCGUAUAUUAAAAUUGUUGCAGUUAAAAAGCUCGUAGUUGAAUUUCUGCUAAAAAUAACCGGUCUGCUUUUAAUAAAGGUGGUAUCUUGGUGUGUUUUUAGCAAUAAUGUCCUUUGAAAUGGUUUUUACUUUGUUGUAAAAAUCAAUAUUCAGGAUUUUUACUUUGAGAAAAUUAGAGUGUUUCAAGCAGGCUUACGUUUUGAAUACUGCAGCAUGGAAUAAUAAAAUAGGAUUUUAGUUCUACUUUGUUGGUUUUAAGAACUAAAUUAAUGAUUGAUAGGGACAGUUGGGGGCAUUUGUAUUUAACUGUCAGAGGUGAAAUUCUUAGAUUUGUUAAAGACAAACUACUGCGAAAGCAUUUGCCAAAGAUGUUUUCAUUAAUCAAGAACGAAAGUUAGGGGAUCGAAGACGAUCAGAUACCGUCGU
rnacentral:rRNA from 1 species